UUUCUGUUGCUGUUCAACUGUAUCCAUACAGUGUUCUGAAUCUUUGCAAGUUUCAAGAAUACCAGAGAUGCGACUGAAAGUACCAAGUGUAGUCUUAAACUACCAUAAAACAGGAUUGUUCAGCAAAGAAGUAGACUUAAAGUUAACUAACAAACAGCUGAGAGGACAGUACAUAAAAUCACCUUCAUCCGCACACGGCAUGCAUCUCCCUGAGCACCUGAGUCACACAGAAAAAUUGAGUGGGAAAUGGUCAAUCCUUGUAGCAUUUACAAACUACCAAAGGAAUUUAGUGAUUUCCUGUUCACAGAAUAAGCACAAAACUACAGUGUCUACGAGGACAGGACUGAGAGGAACACAGACUCAUAAAGGUAAACUAAAAGUGAGGUAAACAUUGGCGGGGCUCACUAAUGAACAGGGGUCUAACUUUGAACAGUAUAGAAGGGUAGAAAUUACUAAUGGAUAGAAAAUGCUCUCCAUCAAAGGUGCAUUUUCUCCUGAGCCCUUACACUGUAUACUCUCAUUUUGCUUGCCCUGUGCUUGUUAGUCAUAUUUUCUCUUAAGGCAGUUUUCUGCCACUGCCUGCCAUCUACAUGUCAUCAUGUCCGUUGUCAGUAGGCAGUCUGACAGUUUUAAAUGUCGACUUAACUACCACACCAUUCCCUCUGCCUCAAACGAGAAGCAAACACAACGGAAAUAGUGUGAAAGGGUUAGCGUGGCCCACAACACUAACAGUGAACAGUGCGUCUAGAAUAAGCCAAUCAAUGUGCUAAGCAUUUGUCAUGUUCUGCCCUUCAACCUCCCAUGUGCAGUAAGGAAUACAAACUUAAGGGAAGCUAUUUUCCCAAUAAUAUACAGCUGUUCUUUUAACACACCUGUAUUAACCCACAGCUAUAGUCCUACGAAGGUGUUACUAAUAUCUCCAUGAAGGCGCUUUACAGGACUGACUGAAAAUGUUCAGUUUUAUGUUCUUGCCCCACUCCUGAAACAGAAUGGAUAUCAGCAAAAAGGAAAACUUGUUGUCAUGAUUCAGUAUUACUGAUGUUUCUGUUAAUACUAUCAGGAGAUAAAAGUAUAAGCAGAAUGAUUAAGACUUAAAACUAGUUUUAUUCUGCCUCAGAUUACGUUUAAGUGCUGCUGAUAUGAUUACCAUUUUAAUCAUUUGAGGCAGUUAAGAAUCUAAUCCCGACACAUGGUGGCAGUGCACUCAGGAGGCCGAGGCAGGCAGAUCUUUGAGUUCAAGGCCAGCCUGGUCUCCAGAGCGAAUUCCAGGACAGCCAGAACCACACAGAGAAAGCCUGUCCUGGGGUGAGAGGCAGGUCUAACCCAGCAUUUGGAAGAAGAGGUAGACGGACCUCUGUUUUUCAAGACAGGCUGGUCGCAUAGCAAAGCAAGUUCCAGGAUAGCCAGGGCUACAUAAUGAGACCUGGGGUGGGGGUGGGAGGCAGAGAGAGUGCUUUAACUUGUAAUAACUUUCAGUAUCUUCAGAAAAACUAGCUAAAAGUGGGGAAAUAACUUUCACAAGUCUAACACAUUAACACUUCUCUUCCAACUGGGGUCCUACAUAGCUCCUUUAAAUGUUAUCCAAGACUACAGUUCAAAGCACAAACUUGGUUUCUCCACAGCACUUGCUUAUCUAACUUUCUCCACUCUGUGGUGAAAUCCUGGAAUUAUAUUAAUAUGCAGGAACUGAAUUUUUAAAUUAUAGAUGCCUACAUCAUUUAUUCUGUUUCCUCAAACAUUUAUUGAGGUGGCAGGAAUGAGAAGAGAAAAACUUAAUGACUUUUUGUUUGUGGUUUAGCAAGAGCCCAAUACAACCAUUACUAAGUAUGCCAGACCUGUACUAUCAAAGAGGCACAAGUAAGUUUUCCACAGGCUUCUGACAUCAGUAAAGGCAGUAGAGGUGGUAUUCUAAAGAAAUACAAAGUGUCACUGUGUUGUUAUGUUCUGGGUAUUUCCCCAGCAAAGUGCAUGACAUAAAGGGCAUGGCAAAGACAGCUCUCCAUAGCCACAAAAGUUCCUUGCCCACGGAUCCAACCAACUCUGAAAAUAAAUGGGAAGAACACUGCGUCUGCA
rnacentral:lncRNA from 1 species